CAGCUGUCUCAUUGUAACUCAAAGGAU
rnacentral:piRNA from 1 species